AAGCUAACAAAGUGGUGAAGGAGUUGUGGCCAGAAUGGCUGGGUCCUCUGAAGGUGGAGGGUCCGCUUCAGACGCAUUACCCAGUUACAGAACUCAAACUGGUUCUUACUGGGAACUGUGGAGAGGAAACCACCUUCACUGGAAACACCUUAUGUGGGRGKMARGCYUUUUAUUUUUCAGGAUUAUAUUUAGAUGAGACGGAAGUGGACUACUUGGUGGUGAAAAUCAUCAAUACUCCAGAGUUCUCAGAAYUGACCACAAAAGAAGCGAUARASRACACUCUAAACUAC